AACGACUGUGGCAGACUGUUCUCACUCUCACCAUCAAAGCAUCUUGUAUGAGGCACAUCUACUUCUUGUUCUUCUGCAGUUUUCUUCGUUUCAAUUGCUGUGACUUUUACACUAUCAUAGCGCCUGGGAUGAUUGGAUUAUUAAGGCAUAGAUAUGGUUGCUCUAUGUUCUAUAUUUCACCUGCUGGACAACUGGAACAGAUGUGGCCAAGCUAUGAUCCUGCAUUUGAUGACAAGUCCUUGAUGAAUACAGAGCCCCAAAAUGGAAAUAAUCUCA
rnacentral:lncRNA from 1 species